rnacentral:ncRNA from 1 species
UCUUAUCAAGAGUGGCGGAGGGACUGGCCCCAUGAAGCCCGGCAACCUAUCUUACGACAAGGUGCUAAUUCCCGAUAGAUGAGAUAC